CGCCAAUAUGACAUGCAAAUAACAAUAAUAUCAUUUUCAUAAAACGUCAAAUAUAUAUUUUCAAUAUUUUUAUGAAAAUGUUUAGCCAGAAACAUCGCAAUAUUAUCUGUAUAUAUAAAAUUAAUUUUGUUUCGCUAUUUACAAGUAUCUAAUAAUAUAUCUUAUUCAUGGAAAGCGCAUAUACGUCUAAGCAUAUUGUAAUAUUUUUGUAAUUUGGAGAACCUUUAUCUAUUGUACAAUAUUUACGGUCUAUGGUAACGUGCGAUUCUGACAACGAUAAUAUUUAAUGUUUAUUUUUUAUAAAAUGUCAAAAUAACUAUAACGCAAAGAAAUUUAUUUUUAGAAAUUUACCUAUUAUGAUUAUUACAAUGUCAGGUCCGAUGUGCAAAUUGGUUGCGCGGGAGUCACGAAAGCAGGGAGGCGAGCAGACAGAAUAAUGGUCGCCGAGCAUUUUCCCUUGUUUAAGCUGGCGACGCAGAUAGCACGCCAGCUUAGUUCACCAGUGGCCAGUCGAGUUAAGGUUUAUGCGAAGUCACAUCCCCGCUUCAGCAUCGCCAUAUGUGAACGGGUUGCGAUAUUAUAUCAUGAAGCAGAGUGGCGCGCGCGCAUCGCAGCUUUGCGUCUUGCAGGAACCGCAUCACCCGCAUUGGUGGCUUCGCGUGCCCCGCCAAUGCCACGCCGACGAGCCCUGGAGCUAGGAGGAGAUCUUAUCGGUGAAAUUGUGAUAUUCUUAAUUGGUUCGAUGAUAGUAAUAUUCGAAGUUAACCGCCAAGCAGCAAUUAAGGAGGCUAAGUGAUUUAGCAGUUAGUCGGCAAUUAGCAGGCGUUAGAACACAAGUCGGAAUGGUUGUGUGUCAAGCUGUCUCUAGAGGAAGUGCAACGAGAAGUGCAGGCACAGCAGGUCGACCUGAACCGCCUCCAUGCUGCUCUUAAGGCCAUGUAUGAACCAACUCCACCCGCUCCUAGCAGUCCAAACACAUAAGCCAAGAGAAGAAAAAACAUGGUUAUCAAUACCAGACCCAUUGCCCAGAAGUACGAGGUUUUUAAUGGUCUUGCGUCGGAGCGAAAAAAAUGGCGGCGGUCAAUCAUCUUAAAAUCUGGAAUAGAUAUAUAAAUAAAUAUUAAGGUAUCAUGGUUAAAAUCGGCUAAGGGCACACCCUUAAUAAUAAUGUAAUAAUUACAAAGAUGGAACGCUGUAUUUUAAAGGAGAAUAUAUGGCCAGUAAAAACGGACCCGACAUUAAAUGUCUAUGAUAAAAAUGGUAGCUUCUCUAAAAAUUUAGUCUUACCAAGUACCAGUACAUAUACCUCCAAUACUUGCCAGCGCUAAUAUUUUCAUAAAAAAGCUUAUCGUAAUAAUUGCACCCUCAGUAUUGUUUCUCGCACGCUGAAACUUUCUGAAAACUAUUUAAUGAUACGAAGUAAAUACAAUCUGUAGUUUUAAUAUUAUAUAAUUUACAAAUGUAUCAAAUUAUAAACAGUAUCUUCUAUAACAUAAGUAAUAAUAGUUAAUAUACAUUAGUACGUAUCGCAAAAAUUAAACAGUUU